UGAGAUAUCACCUGAACUACAAUACUCGAUUUACUUAAAAAGCGGUUGGGUUCUGAUUCUUUACAUCAAUCCAUCUCAAGAUUUGGAAAUCGGUGUCAGCCCCGACCAGUGGUGGUUUAUAUUUUAAAGUAAAAUCCUGCCCGCAAUAAGAUUAAAAUACAAAAAAAGCUCUUCUUUAUAGACAAUCAGAGAUGAUUUGUUUUUUAAUUUUCACUUUUCUGAUACUUUCAGUUGUGCAUACAUCUGCACAGGUAACUUUGAUUAGACCAAUUAUUUUAAUAUUUAACAGAUUACGUAUUUAUUUUUAGCAUGGACAGCACUGCCUUACUCCAGAAAAAUCUUCAAAAUUGCGGAUGAAACCUUUAGGAGCAUAGAAGCAAACACAACGUUGCAAGAUGUGAAUACUGCUUGUCUAACCGCAAUUUUCAAGGGAAAUGUUGCGUUGUGUGACCGAAAGUUAUUUACCUUACCACAAGCAAAAUCUUGCGAGGAAGUUGUUAACCAUGAGGGUUUUUGCUCAUCACCUCCAUCCCAUGGCGGAACACAAUCUGCAAAGUAUUUCACGCAUGCGACACCCUCUAUAAGCCAGCGAGCCUGGUAUUAUGGGAACUAAAUGCGGUCGUUGUAAAUUGCGACAUACUAAUUAGUUCUGGGACCCCGACAAAUUUUUCAAAUGGACCGCAUUUCUGUGCCGAGUUGGAAGUACUGGACCACAUCAAUCCACAAAAUGUCUUGAAUUCUGGAAUUAGCACGUAUUGUGCUCUUAAGUCUCGACAAACUGUUGAGUGGGCAGCAUCGCCACCAAAUUAUUUUGGGUACCCAGGAAACCAAUGGCCAGUACUUUGUCCGGAAAUUGGUAGCAAUGAACUUGAUUCUGAGAUUAGGGAGGAUUAUGGGUGGGCUGGAAAUAUAAAAUUCCGUAAAAUGAUAUCAGGUAAACCAUUUGUGGUGGUGGAGUAUUUUAGUUCAACCGGGCUUCGCGAAAACUUAACGGUAGCGGUGACAGAAUAAACGUUGGUUUUUUCCAUGGAUAUUUGGAUGGAAGUUGUCUUUGUAUUUUAAAUUACCUGAGAACCAAAAUAAUAAAAAUAAUAAACACUGGU